UCAGUAACAAGGAUUCAUCCUUGUGUAUAGUAAAUAACAGGGAGAAUCUUUGUCACUAAGU
rnacentral:pre_miRNA from 1 species